rnacentral:rRNA from 1 species
UUGAUCCUGGCUCAGAACGAACGCUGGCGGCAGGCCUCAAACAUGCAAGUCUAGGGGGUGUAGCAAUACAUCACCGGCGGACGGGUGCGUAACACGUGGGAAUAUACCUUUCGGUACGGAACAACUGAGGGAAACUUCAGCUAAUACCGUAUACGUCCUUACGGAGAAAGAUUUAUCGCCGAAGGAUUAGCCCGCGUUCGAUUAGCUAGUUGGUGAGGUAAUGGCUCACCAAGGCAACGAUCGAUAGCUGUUCUGAGAGGAAGAUCAGCCACACUGGGACUGAGACACGGCCCAGACUCCUACGGGAGGCAGCAGUUGGGAAUCUUGGACAAUGGGGGAAACCCUGAUCCAGCCAUGCCGCGUGAGUGAUGAAGGCCUUCGGGUUGUAAAGCUCUUUUACCCGGGAAGAUAAUGACUGUACCGGGAGAAUAAGCUCCGGCUAACUUCGUGCCAGCAGCCGCGGUAAUAC